UAGAAAACAAAUAGGGUGAUGCUGCAUGC
rnacentral:piRNA from 1 species